AGAGCCGGUCAAACAGUCGCUGCUUUUUAUAACAUGUUUAUAAAAAGGGGAGGAAAGUCCGGGCUCCAUAGGGCAAAGUGCCAGGUAACGCCUGGGAGGUGAAAGCCUACGGAAAGUGCCGCAGAAAAUAACCGCCUAAGUAGCAUAUGCUAACGGUAAGGGUGAAAAGGUGUGGUAAGAGCGCACCGCACAACUGGUAACAGUUUGUGGCUAGGUAAACCCCACUUGGAGCAAGACCAAAUAGGAAUCCUAAGCGUGGCCCGCGUUGGAUUCGGGUAGGUUGCUAAAGAUGUCCAGUGAUGGCCAUCGUAGAUGAAUGACUGUUCGCGACAGAACCCGGCUUAUCGACUGGCUCUUGCU
rnacentral:RNase_P_RNA from 1 species